rnacentral:sRNA from 1 species
GCUGGGUGUGGUGGCACAUGCCUGUAAUCCCAGCAGCUUGGGAGGCUGAGGCAGGAGAUCAAAGCCAGUCUCAGCAACAGCAAGGCACUAAUCAACUCAGUGAGACCCUGUCUCUA